CUGGGUGUUGUUCUGUAUGUUGGCAAAUUGAACACCAAUAAAAAAUAAAUGUGUUAUUAAAAAAAAUGUUCUCCACUUUUAUUUCAACGCAGGAAACAAUCCAGUAGCCGAUAAACAUGGGCGAAAGAGGUCUUCUCCCGGACCGCGUGAGGAAGACGUGGGAAACGAAAUACAGGAGAUGCUGCAAGGACUUGGAGUUGGCAUUAAACAGGCUCUUCUGGCAAAAAGAAAAAUGUUUGAAGCAAAUGCAAAAGCUUCUCUGAAAACCACUAACGAAAAAAUCGAGCAGGGUUGGAAAAUACAACAAGAACAAAGGUGAGGUUGUUGUUUUUAAGCCACGAGGACCCUUGUAUCAUUUCUUAGUAUUCCUUGGUGCAAAUAACGGAAGGCAGAUGCUAUUAUAUUGAGUUUUCCAGUGAAAAAGAGAUUUUGCUGCAUUGUUUUCUAAGCGGAUAAAUUCUCUUAACCUCACUCCUUAUCAGCAUUGGGGUGUAAUUCCAGGAGCCAGUAAGGUGACCUUUCCUACCCCCUUUCAAAGAACAAUUGAGUUCUCUUCCUGUAGGAGUUUUUUUCCUAUAUAGUUUUCUUUUAAUUCAUAGUCAUUCUGGACCUACACUAGCCGAACCUUGGGUAAACGUCUUACAGUGUUAUCCCGGUGAAAGUUAACUAUAUUCCCUCACGUAGAAAAGGUUAACUUUAUAUCAUAAAGAAUUUGCACAUUGU
rnacentral:lncRNA from 12 species